UGCAUGGCGGCGCAGUUGGUAGCACUGUUGCCUUGCAGCAAGAAAGGUCCUGGGUUCGAUUCCCAGCCAGGGGCUUUCUGCAU